GUGGAAGAAAUGUGGGCUUGUCAGAGCUCAUCUACCACAACCUGACUGUGGAGAAGGAGUAAACCCCUAAAUCAUCUUUGGAGAUCUGCUUUUCUUGUGACUAUGAAAGAGGAAGUAUCUCUGGCAACGAACGUGGCAAUGAGUACCUUUCUCAUCUCCCUGCAAAGCUAGAGUCCUCAUGUCAAAAUAUGACCAACUUACUUUUAGGCAGAAUAAAAGUUGUCAACUUAUUGAAGAGUUCAAAUCCUUUUGUCAGCAAUAUAUAUUAACACAUGCAUUUGAAUCAAUUUAAGAAUACUUUUCAUGGCAAUAUAAAAGAAUCAAAUUUUCAAUUAAGAAAUGAAAUUGAGAAGAAUCCGAUGAUUAGAGAGACAGAAUAUGAAUAAUUUUCUUCAGACUCCUUUAAUCUUCAACCCUCAACAAUAACAAAAAAUAAUUAUUCAUCUAAUG
rnacentral:lncRNA from 1 species